AUGCAUUAGUUGAGUGCCUACUCUGUAAGCAUUGCUGUAGCACUGAGGAACAGAAGGGUCAGUGCCCUCAUGGAUCUGAGGCUCUGCUCUGGGAGGCAGUGAACAAGAUGAUGGAGUCAAGUGCAUGGUGAGUCAUGCAGAUGAAGGCCUUAAGGGGCUGAGGAAAGCUGGGAGGGAUGUGAGACUGUUGAGCAUGGAACAGCAUGGAGCAGUUUAUAAGUGGGGAGGGGAGACCUCAGAGGUGGAGACAGUCUAGCAACUUGAAGGAGUGAGGGAUUAAGCUCUGAGGCUCUCUGGGAGAAGAGACUGGCAGGGAGCAGGUGCCCAGGGCCUGGAGCAGAAGCCAUCAGGCAUGUUUGAGACACACUGUGGUAAGAGCAGAGUGCCCAACCAGAGAAGGGUAGAAGGUAGGUCAGUGAAGAAAUGAGGCCCUGGGGGUCAUUGUUAAGGCCACUGGCUUUUACACUUAGUGAGAUUUGGCUUCUAGGGCUUGGCAUUGUUAUCUCACUAUUAUUAUUAUCUCUGUGUGGCAUGACAAGCCACAGAGAAAUGAAGUCAUUUGUAAUAAUUAUGAAUACUGUUUUUACUUUUUUUUAUCCAUUAAGCAAUACAUUAAGCACUUUACAUAAAUAAUUUUGUGUAAUCCUAAGGUCACUCAUUGAAUUGGUACUCUCAUUAUUCCCGUUUUACAAAUGAGGAAAUUAAGACUCAAGGAGAUUUAGCAAAUUUCUCAAGGUCAACAGCUAGAAAGUCAUUGAAUAGAGAUUUAGGUAGCCUGACCCCUGAGGCCACACUCUGGAUCACCUCUCAUGCUUCCUUGAAUGAAUGACUAGGUGUCCAUGGAAUCCUUUCCAGCCACAGUGGUCUGCUCCACUCCAAGAGUGGACACGGGGGGUGCAUGUCCUCACUUCACUCAGAAUCUUUUAGAUCAUUCAUCCAUCCCUCCAUCCACCAUCCCUUGUUAGCU
rnacentral:lncRNA from 1 species